GGGAAUGUAGCUCAGCGGAUAGAGCGCCGUGUGUGGUGGAAGGUUGAGAGUUCGAGUCUCUCAAGAUAUACUCUUAGCUUAACGGGAGAGCACCACAAACGGUAGUCGGUGGUUCGAAUCCACCUGUUCCCA
rnacentral:tRNA from 1 species